UUAGGGGAUGGGAGUCGAGUUCGCUCACAAGAGAUGGGCCAUCAUCCUUUCUAGAAAGACUUUCCUCUGGAUAUAAACCCUAUUCCACAGGAUUUGUGAUCAAAGUUUUUGUAUUCCAGUCCUGAAAAGCUCAUUUUUGUAUCAAUCGAAAUAGCUGUAAACCCAUAAUAUUUUUCAUGUCAGCUUGGCUAAAAGAGGCCGACUUGCGACAGCUUCCAAUUGCCUCCUCUCUCUACUCCGCAGUUCAUCGGAAUCUAAUUGUACUUCAUCUGUGUCAGUGUUUUAAUUUUGCUCCCGAUGUGCAUAUUUUUUUAGAAAUCUUAGCAACCUUUCUGGUAGGGGUAUUGUCAUUUCUAAUGUUAAUGUUUCUCGGAGAAAGUUAGUGUCGUACUGACCUUCAAUCAUUAGAGUUUGAUGUAAAAAUCGAUUGCAUUUAGAAUUUUAUCAUAGCAGUGUGUUAAUUCAUUAAAGGAAAGCAGUGAAGCAAGUUAAAUCAUAACUUCAUACAUGCUUAAUACCGUAAACUUGAAGCAUGUGCCUGUUGCAGUCCUGAUGGAUACAUUAUACAUUAGGCUUUGUUCGGUUGGUGGAGAUGCAAUCCCCUAGUGGCUUCAAUCCAUCCAGGGAUUGGGUGACUCCCACCCCGUCACCCGAUCCCCACUUCAUUCCCACACCAAAAUCUCUGUCACAGAAUGCCAUUCGGUUAGACCUCUUGCAGUCUUGCCAAUGGAGCAAAUAUAAUAUUUCAAAGAAUCAAAUCAUUCAAUUCACUAGUUCCAGAGAUAGAUCCAUCGACCAAUUGGACAUGGGAGUUGCAGCAAGCAGAGAUGAGCCGUGGAGCUUCGUCGGAAAGACGACCAUGGUCAGCGGUGGAAAAGGGGAUGGGAACCCUAGAAAUCAAAAGGGGAGAGAGGAUCUUACCGGCCUGAUGUUGGGGAGGAAGACCGGAGUAGGCUGUAGUGGCCGUUGAGCUUCGGCCCCUGCUCCGCCGUCCAGGCCCACCGCCGCCUACGCCGCUCUCGCCUUCUUCUCCUUUUCUGUUUCGACGGGCUCGGCUGAGCGGUUUCGUUCCGCGCGUGACGAGGCGUGGGUUAAAUCCCGGCGAAAACCCGGCGGUUCGGAGUGGAUUUGAACGGGGUAUGAACCCGGCCGGGUCCAACCGAACGUGCAUACGAGGGAGGUCGGGAUCCAACCCCGGCCGGGGCUAAAACCACACGGUUCGGCCGGGUUUUGACCCAAUCCCGGCGGGGACGGGAUUAAACGAACAAGGCCUUAAGAAUUUGUAUGACAUGGCAUUCACCAAUGCAGUCAGAUGAAAAUGUGGCUCAAACUAUUGAUGGAUGCCCCCCGCUCUUUUACUUGUACCCUUGUUUGUUUCUUAAUAACUCUGUACUUAUGUGUAUCAAUCUGACUAUUGUUUUUCUUCAUUUCUUCUUUCGUAGAGAAUUGGAGCGUGUCCUUGCAGCCAUUGCAUGUCAAUGCAGUCGAAAUAUAGUAGGCAAUCAAGAUGCAUUUUAGUGUAUGUUUCUUUUCUGAUAUCUGGAAUAUAUGUUCAGAUUAUAGUAACUGAAAUAUAUGUUAGCUGCAAUUUGCUAAAGGGUGAUAUGCUUAUGAUCUUAUGGAUGGAAGCCCUAGAGUUCAAUUACCAGGACUUUUUUCACAAGGUUAGUGUACUGCAGGCCUAGAUCCUUAUUUAUGUUACUACAAAGCUUACGUUUUAGACUGCACCUAAGUUGACAUGUUUCUAGAGUGCGGGUUUUCCAAGCUCGGUAUCCUCUAUCUAUACCGUUCACAACAGGUUACUGUAGCAACUGUACCUUUGUUGUCUCCCCACGUUCUCUCUCUCUAGACUGUACAGCAGCCUCUGUCGCACGUCUCAGUCGCCUCUCUCUCAUUUUCUUAUUCUCUCUCCCUCUUCUGCAUUCGCUCGCUCACAUAUCUCAUCUUCUCUCUUAUUUUAUUCUUCUCCCCCUCCUUCCUAUUUCUGCUCCCUCGCACGUCUCAAUCUCGGCUGUCUCUCAUUUUCUUGUUCUCUGUCCCUCCUCCCCAUUCGCUCGCUCACAUAUCUCAUCUUCUAUCUUAUUUUAUUCUUCUCCCUCCUCCUUCCCAUUUCUGCUCCAUCACACGUCUCAAUCUCCCCCCCUCUCUCUCAUUUUCUUGCUCUUCUUCUCUCUCUCUAAUAGGAACAGCUGCCACAAUAGUCAACACAUCUCUCUUUCCUCACACUCCGAUUCUCUCUCUCACCUUGACAUGACAUGCAUGCACAGCACGCUAUCUCUCACAAGCUCCUCUCCUCACGCUUUCUCUCUUUCAGAUGCAGUCUGACACUCUGACAUGCAUGCACAAGCUCUCUCAUCUCUCUCUCUAGAAAGCACAUGCAUGCGGAACAGGACAACGUAUGCACUGUGCCUUCUCUGUUAAUCACAAAAGCCAAGCGCUGGUGCACUGAGAAGUGGUCAUGUGAUGCACGGAUCCCAACGCGAGUGGACAGCCAAGAUAAACGGUAUCGUGGAGCUCGAGCUAUGCAAGAACUUUCUGAUGUUUCUAUGGUCUACAUUUUGCGGAUUGGAGAGUUAGGAUCAGCUGGCCCCGAGUGCAAAGAACUUCAAGAAACAACAAAGAGUUGUUGAUGGAUAAUUCAGCCGGCUUGCUUCUCUGUUUGCCAAUUGUUUGGAGCUACGAGGGUAACUAUUUACUGUAUUGUGGUAGAUUUCUUUUGCUCUGAUAACUAAUCUAUUUUAAGUUUUUAACUGAUUUCAGUGUCCUAAAUCUCUAGUGCAAAAACUAUAGCACUGGAUGUGUUGCCCUUCAGAGGUGGUGCCGGAAGGAUCAGGGGCGAAGCCAACAUAGAGAAGGAGGCAAUUGUGAUCGCAGCUGAGGGAAGCAAAAGCACGUGGAGGGGCAUUCCUCAGCCUACUGGUACAUGUCAUUCUUCCAGCAAGCGGCGCCAGUUCCAAAAUGAAGAUUUGCUUAAUUGUGAAAGGAUGUUUUGUCUCAAACUCUAUAUGGUCCAAGAUGUACAAUCAUUUCUUGAAAAUCAUAUUACUUCCAUCCCAAAAAGCUUGUCUCAGAUUUGUAUAAAUGCGGAUGUUGGUUCCUUGCUCUAGUUCUUGUAAGCUGAAAAUCUGUGUUCUUUCUGCAGUAUCUUUGUUUGAAGAGAUUAACGACUGGCAAAGACUAAGUCUCCUCUGGUGUGCAUCAAUCAAGGGUUACAUGUAGUUCUACUUUAUGCCCAGCCCGGCAAGGUAGCGGGUAUAUAUGGAAGAAGCUAUGUUGUUAAUCUGUUAUAUCGUGAUUUAAGACCAGCAAAUGGUUAGAAUAUUAACCCUCG
rnacentral:lncRNA from 1 species